UCUGUGGCAAUAUGGGGUUGGGUAGU
rnacentral:piRNA from 1 species